CAAAUCGGAAUUCCCUUCCGAUGCACACUCGUUCACUCACUCACACCCUCGCUCUAACCCCGUCUGGCUCCCAGACACUCACUCACUCUCUCUCUCUCUCUCUCUCUCUCUCUCUUUCUUUCACACACUUGCACACAUGGUGUCUGCGAGGCUGCCGGACGCUCCCUCUGAAAACUCACUGCGAUCUUCAGGAUUCUCUCAGUCUCUGAGUUUUAGGAAGGGAGAGUGGGAAAAAGUGCAAAAAAAGUAACAGUGUGUGCUGGUGUUUCUUUCUGGUCUGUAUCAGUGGGCUGGUCUCCUGUGCCUGCUGUGCUGAUAAUCAGUGUCUCUCUUCAGCUGGCUCAGUUCAGCAGGAACAGGGGCCUGGUCUUGCCAACAUAACACCUUAGAGAUACACACACACACACACACACACACAGAUGCACGCCACCAGCCUACAUUCUGAGAAAAUCCACUCUCCGGCACCUUCCACAGCUGGGAUCCAGAGCGAGGUGGAUAUAUACAGUUUAUUGAAGUUACGUAUUAAUGUGAUCAUAUGUGAUAAUACGAAUGUAGACGACUAAUUAUGGGCUGGCGCCAGUGACUUGUCCUGUGACCUCAAUAAAACCGAGACAUCAAUAAAAGCUAAAAGGCUCCAA